GUGUGGGGCCAAGCACCCCGAAGCAUUAUCUUCCACCCGCCUACGGAAGCAUGUGGCUACACUUUCCAGAGUCCUCAACCUGAGCGAUACAGAGAUGGAUCAGCUUGCUGAUUUCCUUGGACAUGAUAUUCGGGUGCAUCGGCAUUAUUACCGCCUCCCGGAGGGUACCCUUCAACUGGCCAAGUUGAGCAAGCUGUUUCUGGCUCUCGAGCAAGGGAGAAUGGCUGAAUUCCGGGGCCACAAUCUGGAAGAGAUCUCCAUUGAUCCAAACGGUAGGUAUCACUUGACAGUGUGGCUCCAGGGACUGACUGUCUAAGUGGGCUGGUGUGAUCGGUUUCCCUGUCCUUCUCUAUCCACAGAGCCGAUCCAGGUGGUGAGCGAUGACUCUGGGGAUGAGCCAGAGAGUCAGGAUACUGAGGUUCCCAUGGGGCACAUGGGAAAAGAAGCCGGCAGCGUGGUGUCGGCGGUGGAUGGAGGUGCAGCUAAAGGUGACAGAAGGGGUACCAAGCGCAAUCCGUGGACCCCAGCAGAAGUGAAAGCUGUUGAACGUCACAUGAUUCGGUUCAUUCGCUCAUUCAAGGUGCCGGGCAAGAAUGACUGUGAUGCGUGCCUAAGGGCAGAACGACAAGCGCUGAAGGCUCGGAACUGGCUCUCGGUUAAGUUUUACAUUAAGAACCGAAUUACUGCUGAAAUGAGAAAGAACCUUUCCUGAAUAAAAUGUAUCUGCUGCUGAA